CUCACUUGUUGGGUGCUAGGGUUUGUUCUCCUCUGUUUCCUCGGCGAAGUUCUUGCCGUCAACGACCAAUACAUGAGCAUCACCCAGUCCAUGCCUCCCGCUACACCUUUGGUGUUGCUCUAGCUCGUGAGCCCCCCAUCCCAGGCAUAAACUUCAUCAUCCAAGUGCCCAACUCAGGAUUCUUUAUGGCACUCGGCCGCCUCGGCCUCAUCUCGGUUGUCGACAACCACAUAAAAGGUAGUAUUGAAGGAACACUUGGUUCUAACUUUGUUUAGAGAUGAGGUAGAUUAUCAGCUUUAUCUUCUUCCAAGCAUUUUGGAAUCCAAAAAGUUAGUUAAAUCUGGACGAGCGAAACAAAAGUAUGCAGAUUUGGAAAAUAAUGUGGCAAAACAAGUUGAGAAGAUGAUAAGGCACAUGAAGAAGUGAAUGGAGCGAAUUUGUCUACUCCUAUGUGGGUGUCUAUGAGUUGUGUAUCUUCUAUAUAAAUUUUUGGAUUGUAUUUGAUACAUA